CCUACGGGAGGCAGCAGUGGGGAAUAUUGCACAAUGGGCGAAAGCCUGAUGCAGCGACGCCGCGUGAGGGAUGACGGCCUUCGGGUUGUAAACCUCUUUCAGUAGGGAAGCGGUACCUGCAGAAGAAGCGCCGGCUAACUACGUGCCAGCAGCCGCGGUAAUACGUAGGGCGCAAGCGUUGUCCGGAAUUAUUGGGCGUAAAGAGCUCGUAGGCGGUUUGUCGCGUCUGCUGUGAAAACGCAAGGCUUAACCUUGCGCCUGCAGUGGGUACGGGCAGACUAGAGUGCGGUAGGGGAGACUGGAAUUCCUGGUGUAGCGGUGGAAUGCGCAGAUAUCAGGAGGAACACCGAUGGCGAAGGCAGGUCUCUGGGCCGUACUGACGCUGAGGAGCGAAAGCAUGGGGAGCGAACAGGAUUAGAUACCCUUGUAGUC
rnacentral:rRNA from 1 species